CUAAGGAGAAAAGAGGAGCGGCAGAGCCUGGCUGUUGUGGAGGGAUGCCCGAGAGCUCUCUAGUUCACUGUCGCAGGAGCUCCAUGCCAGACGUGACUGGAAGCUGCUGUUACUUCCCAUGCUAAUCUACAUGGCUGCCUCUCACAUCUCUUCCCUUUCACGUUUCAGUGAGAAAACACAACUGGGUCUGCUUUGCAGAGCGGCCACGUGAGCGGGGCCGGGUCCCCUCACUGUGUGUGUCUGGCACCUUCCAGCUGGCGGACAGUAGUGGCACUCGGGUCCCUAACAUCACCCAGGGACAUGUCAGCAGAAGGAUGAGGCCACUGAGGAGAAAAGUGAUGAAGCUAUUGCCUGUAACUGCUGACAUAAGGGCCGGCUCCUGGAGCAGCCGUGGUCACCCCAGGGAUGUGGCAGCUCUGAAAUCCAGGACCUGGAGAGCAGAGCUCCUGAAGGAUGCUGUGUGUAAGUCUGGGCUGCUGAACUGUUUAGCAGGUGUUGGAUAAUUCUUUUCAACCCCAUCGCCUCUAAAGCUGCAAGGCAAAACCUGUUUCUAAUCCAUGGUUUCUCUCUUUUAAUGCCAGGACAGGUUUCUCUGCAAAGCUGCUUCACCUCUUGGGCCACCUAGUUUCUGCACAGGCACAAAACUACAGCGUUCUCCAGCAAAGGGAUCCCUGCAGCUGAGUUUCCUUGUUCUGCAGUCCUUGCUGUGUGCCCAGGACUGUUCUGCUGCUCGCACCCUGCACACUCCAUAGCCUCCAGGUGCUGACAGACACUGCCCAGUCUCUGGCAGCUCUGUGCAGGCUUUCGAGGUUGCUGAGCUGAGGUGCCUGGAGGAGCCCAGUGUGGGGCUGGGCACAC
ensembl:lncRNA